rnacentral:rRNA from 1 species
UACGUAGGGUGCGAGCGUUGUCCGGAAUUACUGGGCGUAAAGAGCUUGUAGGUGGUUUGUCGCGUUGUUCGUGAAAUCUCACGGCUUAACUGUGAGCGUGCGGGCGAUACGGGCAGACUUGAGUACUGCAGGGGAGACUGGAAUUCCUGGUGUAGCGGUGGAAUGCGCAGAUAUCAGGAGGAACACCGGUGGCGAAGGCGGGUCUCUGGGCAGUAACUGACGCUGAGAAGCGAAAGCGUGGGGAGCGAAUGGG